rnacentral:rRNA from 1 species
UACGAAGGGGGCUAGCGUUGUUCGGAAUUACUGGGCGUAAAGCGCACGUAGGCGGACUACUAAGUCAGGGGUGAAAUCCCGGGGCUCAACCCCGGAACUGCCUUUGAUACUGGUAGUCUCGAGUCCGGAAGAGGUGAGUGGAAUUCCGAGUGUAGAGGUGAAAUUCGUAGAUAUUCGGAGGAACACCAGUGGCGAAGGCGGCUCACUGGUCCGGUAUUGACGCUGAGGCGCGAAAGCCAGGGGAGCAAACGGG